GACGAACGCUGGCGGCGUGCUUAACACAUGCAAGUCGAACGGAAAGGCCCUGCUUUUGUGGGGUGCUCGAGUGGCGAACGGGUGAGUAACAUGUGAGUAACCUGCCCUUGACUUUGGGAUAACUUCAGGAAACUGGGGCUAAUACCGGAUAGGAGCUCCUGCUGCAUGGUGGGGGUUGGAAAGUUUCGGCGGUUGGGGAUGGACUCGCGGCUUAUCAGCUUGUUGGUGGGGUAGUGGCUUACCAAGGCUUUGACGGGUAGCCGGCCUGAGAGGGUGACCGGCCACAUUGGGACUGAGAUACGGCCCAGACUCCUACGGGAGGCAGCAGUGGGGAAUAUUGCACAAUGGGCGGAAGCCUGAUGCAGCAACGCCGCGUGCGGGAUGGCGGCCUUCGGGUUGUAAACCGCUUUCGCCUGUGACGAAGCGUGAGUGACGGUAAUGGGUAAAGAAGCACCGGCUAACUACGUG
rnacentral:rRNA from 1 species